CGUCGUCGACGUACGUCUACGAGAGGUUCGAUUACUGGCUCAGGAUGAACGCUGGCGGCGUGCCUAAUACAUGCAAGUCGAACGCAUUACUUCGGUAGUGAGUGGCGAACGGGUGAGUAACACGUAGGUAACUUACCUCUAAGACGAGGAUAACGACUGGAAACGGUCGCUAAAACUGGAUAGGAUCAUUUGAGGCAUCUCGAAUGAUUUAAAGGGGCUUUCAAGCCACACUUAGAGAAAGGCCUGCGGCGCAUUAGCUAGUUGGUGGGGUAGAGGCCUACCAAGGCGAUGAUGCGUAGCCGGACUGAGAGGUCGAACGGCCACAUUGGGACUGAGACACGGCCCAAACUCCUACGGGAGGCAGCAGUAGGGAAUUUUCGGCAAUGGGGGAAACCCUGACCGAGCAACGCCGCGUGAAUGAAGACGUAUUUCGGUAUGUAAAGUUCUUUUAUUAAGGAAGAAUAUCACGGAUAGGAAAUGAUCUGUGAGUGACGGUACUUAAUGAAUAAGCCCCGGCUAACUAUGUGCCAGCCGCCGC
rnacentral:rRNA from 1 species